rnacentral:tRNA from 1 species
UAGCUCAGUGGCAGAGUGCCUGCCUUGUAUGCAGGAGGCCCUGGGUUCAUCCCCAG